rnacentral:tRNA from 1 species
AGUAAAUAGGUGUAUGUGGGCACGAGAAAUUUUGGUUUUCUUAGACGUUUUUCAAAAAGCGAUUUACUA